GUCACCCACAUAGCCCAAAACCAUGGAAACAGCCAGUGGCUUUGAUGGUGUCAUGGUGGGUGGAGAUGAUGGGGUGCUUUAGGGGCUCUGGGCCUGCCUGGCGCUUUCCCCACCCCCAACACGGCCCCUCAGGUGCUUGGAGGACUGUGGCCAUGGUGUGUGCAGUGGCCCCCCGGACUUUACCUGCGUGUGUGACCUAGGCUGGACAUCAGACCUGCCCCCUCCCACACCCGCCCCGGGUCCGCCAGCCCCCCGCUGCUCCCGGGACUGUGGCUGCAGCUUCCACAGCCACUGCCGCAAGCGGGGCCCUGGCUUCUGCGACGAGUGCCAGGACUGGACAUGGGGGGAGCACUGCGAACGAUGCCGGCCCGGCAGCUUCGGCAACGCCACAGGCUCUAGGGGCUGCCGGCCCUGCCAGUGCAACGGGCACGGGGACCCACGCCGUGGCCACUGCGACAACCUCAGUGGGCUCUGCUUCUGCCAGGACCACACCGAGGGUGCCCACUGCCAGCUCUGCUCCCCAGGCUAUUAUGGGG
rnacentral:lncRNA from 1 species